rnacentral:rRNA from 1 species
AGGUUACUGCUAUCGGUGUUCGCCUAAGCCACGCGAGUCAUAUGUUCUUCGUGAACAUGGCGUACUGCUCAGUAACACGUGGAUAACCUGCCCUUGGGUCCGGCAUAACCCCGGGAAACUGGGGAUAAUUCCGGAUAACGCACAUAUGCUGGAAUGCUUUAUGCGUCAAAUGGAUUCGUCCGCCCAAGGAUGGGUCUGCGGCCUAUCAGGUAGUAGUGGGUGUAAUGUACCUACUAGCCUACGACGGGCACGGGUUGUGAGAGCAAGAGCCCGGAGAUGGAUUCUGAGACAUGAAUCCAGGCCCUACGGGGCGCAGCAGGCGCGAAAACUUUACAAUGCGGGAAACCGUGAUAAGGGGACACCGAGUGCCAGCAUCAUAUGUUGGCUGUCCGGGUGUGUAAAAUACACCUGUUAGCAAGGGCCGGGCAAGACCGGUGCCAGCCGCCGCGGUAACACCGGCGGCCCGAGUGGUGAUCGUGAUUAUUGGGUCUAAAGGGUCCGUAGCCGGUUUGGUCAGUCCUCCGGGAAAUCUGACGGCUUAACCGUUAGGCUUUCGGGGGAUACUGCCAGACUUGGAACCGGGAGAGGUAAGAGGUACUACAGGGGUAGGAGUGAAAUCUUGUAAUCCCUGUGGGACCACCUGUGGCGAAGGCGUCUUACCAGAACGGGUUCGACGGUGAGGGACGAAAGCUGGGGGCACGAACCGGAUUAGAUACCCGGGUAGUCCCAGCCGUAAACGAUGCUCGCUAGGUGUCAGGCAUGGCGCGACCGUGUCUGGUGCCGCAGGGAAGCCGUGAAGCGAGCCACCUGGGAAGUACGGCCGCAAGGCUGAACCUUAA